GAUGAAGAACGCAGCGAAAUGCGAUACUUGGUGUGAAUUGCAGAAUCCCGUGAACCAUCGAGUCUUUGAACGCAAGUUGCGCCCGAAGCCAUCAGGUUGAGGGCACGUCUGCCUGGGCGUCACAUAUCGUUGCCCAAUGCCUAUUGCAGUGCAAUAGGAAUUUCUAGGGCGAAUGAUGGCUUCCCGUGAGCGUUGUUGCCUCGCGGUUGGUUGAAAAUCGAGUCCUUGGUAGGGUGUGCCAUGGUAGAUGGUGGUCGAUUUAGAACGAUACCGAUCAUGUGCAUGCUCCCCAAAAUAUGGCCUCUAUGACCCACACGCGUCUUUUGACGCUCAUGACGAGACCUCAGGUCAGGCGGGGCUACCCGCUGAAUUUAAGCAUAUCAAUAAGCGGAGGA
rnacentral:misc_RNA from 1 species